rnacentral:rRNA from 1 species
AUGGCGUCAACCGCACCACGGCCGCCCCGCCGAGCCGCGACCUUGACACUCCUCCUGCCCUUCCUCCUCCUUUCCUCCUCCCCGUCCCUCUCCUUCGCCGCUUCGCCGCCGCCGUCGAGCCCCGCCCCGCUCCACGCGCCGCCGCGGCGGGUCGCGUCCGACUCCGACAGCGCCCCCCCGCCGCCGCACCACCCGCACCCGCACCACCACCACCACCGCCCGCCCCCGUCCCCUCCGCGGCUUAACUUCGGCGAGAGGCUCGGGAUCGCCAUCGCCGGCGUCGCCGUGGCAAUGCAGGUCGUCCUCGGCGCGUUCCUGGCGCUGCGCGCCUGGCAGCUGCGGCGGCUCGACAGGGCCGAGGUGUCCUCCUCCACGCCCCUCACCUGA